UGCACGUUUAUAUAUUCGUGCUGUGAGCUGUCAAAUUUUGGCUGUAUGUGCAUUACACUGUAUAAAUUUACAUAAAAUGCUCUAUAAUUUACAUUUGUUACUCUCUUUUCGUUUCUUUUGAAACACUCGGGGAACACCUACGGCGCCUUUUGUUUUCGGAAUUUUCAGAUUUCGAUUUUCGUUUCAUAUUUCGAUGACUUUAUCAUUCCAUAGUCUAUCAAGAUAUGACAGUCUGGAAACUAAACAGAACUCGUUGCAUUGUGUUAUGUUUUCGUCUUUUGCAAAAUUUGUUAAUCUGUGCACGAUCACGGUGAUUGAGAUCAUUGUAUUUUCGUAUAACGGAACAAUAGUCCAAUAGGGAUAGGCGGAUAGUUGAGAUGAAACGUGCAUAAUAUUUAAUGAAGUUGAGACAAAGGAUUCGUGCACGGUGAGAUACAGUAACUCAGUGGCGUGCUGGCAGGGGGGCGGGGGGCCACGCCCCCCCCCCCAACUGGCAAUUCUUGGGGGGCGCUAAAAUGAAAAAGGGGCGCCGAUCCCGUGCCGAAUUUCGAAAGUGGGUGGGAAAAAACGCAUUAGAAAAAAUAUAGUAACUUCCGCCAAGAAAAGAUCUGUUUAUAGGCUUAUCAAACAUACUUAGGCCGUUAGGCGACAAAGUGAUAUAAUAAAUUCACGGUGGCCGUAGAAGACACGAAAUUCGGCAAGGAUCGAAUAACUUUCGGUCAUUAGUUCGGAAUAUCACGAAACUUCCUCACAGGAUGGAA